AUUGAACGCUAGCGGGAUGCCUUACACAUGCAAGUCGAACGAGUGGCGAACGGGUGAGUAAUGCUUGGGAAUCUAGCUUAUGGAGGGGGAUAACUACGGGAAACUGUAGCUAAUACCGCGUACCAUAGGAUGAGCCCAAGUGGGAUUAGGUAGUUGGUGAGGUAAAGGCUCCCCAAGCCGACGAUCUCUAGCUGGUCUGAGAGGAUGACCAGCCACACUGGGACUGAGACACGGCCCCGACUCCCACGGGAGGCAGCAGGUGGGAAUAUUGCGCAAUGGGGGCAACCUGACGCAGCCAUGCCGCGGGAAUGAAGAAGGCCUUCGGGUUGGAAAGCUCUGUUAAUCGGGAGACGGUACCGGAAGAGAAAGCCACGGCUAACUACGUGCCAGCAGCCGCGGUAAUUC
rnacentral:rRNA from 1 species